CCUACGGGAGGCUGCAGUGAGGAAUAUUGGUCAAUGGCCGGAAGGCUGAACCAGCGAUGCCGCGUGAAGGUCAGUGCCCUAUGGGCGUUAAACUUCUUUUGUGCGGGAGCAAUAAUGGUCACGUGUGGCCAGACGAGAGUACCCUACGAAUAAGCAUCGGCUAACUCCGUUCAAGCAGCCGGGGUAAUACGGGGGAUGCAAGCGUUAUCCGGAUUUAUUGGGUUUAAAGGGUGCGUAGGCUGGGAGGUAAGUCAGCGGUGAAAUGCCCCCGCUCAACGGGGUGAAGUGCCAUUGAUACUGCCUUGCUGGAAUGCGGAUGACGUGGGAGGAAUGUGUGGUGUAGCGGUGGAAUGCAUAGAUAUCACACAGAACACCGAUUGCGAAGGCAUCUCACGAAUCCGCGAUUGACGCUGAUGCACGAAAGCGUGGGUAUCAAACAGGAUUAGAUACCCCAGUAGUC
rnacentral:rRNA from 1 species